CCCUUAGAUGUCCUGGGCCGCACGCGCGCUACACUGAUGCAUUCAACGAGUGACCUUAGCCGAGAGGCCUGGGCAAUCUUUUGAAAGUGCAUCGUGAUAGGGAUAGACUAUUGCAAUUAUUGGUCUUCAACGAGGAAUUCCUAGUAGACGUAGUUCAUCAGACUGCAUCGAUUACAUCCCUGCCCUUUGUACACACCGCCCGUCGCUCCUACCGAUUGAAUGCUCAGGUGAGCCAUUCGGACUUUCAUCAUGCUGGUUUCCAGUUUUGAUGAAGGAAAGUCUUGCGAACCUUAUCAUUUAGAGGAAGGAGAAGUCGUAACA
rnacentral:rRNA from 1 species